AUAGCUCAUGGGUAGAGCGCAAAUCUUUUAAAUUUGAGGUACAGGUUCAAAUCCUGUUUAGUGA
rnacentral:tRNA from 1 species